AUUCCGAGAAGAAAUUAAAUAACAAAUACUGUAAAGAAAAGGUUUAAGUAUGGCCUGUGGAUCGAAACAUGAAUGCAGAGCACUGUCCUAAAAGCGAAAUUAUUCCUCCACGUGCGAGGCUUCCUGGCAAUUAUUUUCAGUGAUACAACUACCACAUUCCAUCCCGUCGGCACGAUUUCAAGGUGGCGUAAGACGAAUCCAACAAGCUUCAGAUCCAACAAAUAAAACUUGGCGAAAAUCCGCAGAAAAGAUUAAUGACGA
rnacentral:lncRNA from 1 species